rnacentral:rRNA from 1 species
CCUACGGGAGGCAGCAGUGGGGAAUAUUGCACAAUGGGGGAAACCCUGAUGCAGCGACGCCGCGUGAAGGAAGAAGUAUUUCGGUAUGUAAACUUCUAUCAGCAGGGAAGAAAAUGACGGUACCUGACUAAUAAGCCCCGGCUAACUACGUGCCAGCAGCCGCGGUAAUACGUAGGGGGCAAGCGUUAUCCGGAUUUACUGGGUGUAAAGGGAGCGUAGGCGGGAUAGCAAGUCAGAUGUGAAAGCCUAGGGCUCAACCCCAGGACUGCAUUUGAAACUGUUAAACUAGAGUACAGGAGAGGUAAGUGGAAUUCCUGGUGUAGCGGUGAAAUGCGUAGAGAUUAGGAGGAACACCAGUGGCGAAGGCGGCUUACUGGACUGUAACUGACGCUGAGGCUCGAAAGCGUGGGGAGCAAACAGGAUUAGAUACCCCUGUAGUC